GCCUGGGUGGCUCAGUCGGUUGAGCGUAUGACUUUGGAUCUUGUGGUCUGUGGGUUCGAGCCCCACGUUGGGCU